CUCGUAGGCGGUCGUGUACGGCGGUGGUGAAAGCUCCCGGCUCAACUGGGAGAGGCCCAUCGCAACGGCAUGACUCGAGGGUGGUAGAGGCAGAUGGAAUUCCUGGUGUAGCGGUGAAAUGCGUAGAGAUCAGGAGGAACACCCGUGGCGAAGGCGGUCUGCUGGGCCACACCUGACGCUGAGGAGCGAAAGCCAGGGGAGCGAACGGGAUUAGAUACCCCGGUAGUCCUGGCCGUAAACGAUGGAUACUAGGUGUCAGCGGUAUCGACCCGCUGGUGCCGCAGCUAACGCGUUAAGUAUCCCGCCUGGGGAGUACGGCCGCAAGGUUGAA
rnacentral:rRNA from 1 species